CUUUUAACAUGCACUCCUACUUGGACUCCAACUCAUCACCCUUCUUUUAUUUCUUGUUCUUGAUGAUUUUUGAGUGAGUUUUUGUUGUAAGUCAUAUAGAUGUGAAGUAGGAUCCUCCAAGAGGUCUUCAACAUGCAAAAUUCUUCUUUGGUCGAACUAUAGAUGCUUUCGGGUUUCUAUAUGAUAUUGAAUUAUUAUUUCUUCUCAUUGGUUGAGUGUAUAAUGUAGAAAUUU
rnacentral:lncRNA from 1 species